AGAGUUUGAUCCUGGCUCAGAACGAACGCUGGCGGCGUGCUUAAGACAUGCAAGUCGAACGGUAAGGCGAGUCACUCUUCGGAGUGAAUCGCACACGAGUGGCGCACGGGUGAGUAACGCGUGGGUAAUCUGCCUUCGGGUUUGGGACAACUCCGGGAAACUGGAGCUAAUACCGAAUAAGACCACGAGGUCCUUGGGCCUUGCGGAAAAAGAUGGCCUCUUCUUGAAAGCUAUCGCCUGUAGAUGAGCCCGCGUCCCAUUAGCUUGUUGGUGAGGUAACGGCUCACCAAGGCAUCGAUGGGUAGCCGGUCUGAGAGGAUGAUCAGCCACACUGGAACUGAGACACGGUCCAGACUCCUACGGGAGGCAGCAGUCGGGAAUCUUGCACAAUGGGCGAAAGCCUGAUGCAGCAACGCCGCGUGAGGGAUGAAGGCCCUCGGGUCGUAAACCUCUGUCGGAAGGGAAGAAAGUAUUGCGGGUUAAUAUCCCGGAGUACUGACGGUACCUUCAAAGGAAGCGCCGGCUAACUCCGUGCCAGCAGCCGCGGUAAUACGGAGGGCGCGAGCGUUAUUCGGAAUUAUUG
rnacentral:rRNA from 1 species